CAAGCGUGGAUGAUGUGGAUUAAUCGAUGCAACGCGAAGACCUUACUACCCUUGACAUGUCCGGAACUUGCCAGAGAUGGCUUGGUGCCCGAAAGGGAAUCGGAACACAGGUGCUGCAUGGCUGUCGUCAGCUCGUGUCGUGAGAUGUUGGGUUAAGUCCCGCAACGAGCGCAACCCUUAUCAUUAGUUGCUACGCAAGGGCACUCUAAUGAGACUGCCGGUGACAAACCGGAGGAAGGUGGGGAUGACGUCAAGUCCUCAUGGCCCUUAUGGGUAGGGCUUCACACGUCAUACAAUGGUCGGUACAGAGGGUUGCCAAGCCGCGAGGCGGAGCCAAUCCCACAAAGCCGAUCGUAGUCCGGAUUGUUCUCUGCAACUCGAGAGCAUGAAGUCGGAAUCGCUAGUAAUCGCAGGUCAGCAUACUGCGGUGAAUACGUUCCCGGGUCUU
rnacentral:rRNA from 1 species